rnacentral:siRNA from 1 species
AUGUACUUUUGGAUUCAUGUGAA